GAUGAACGCUGGCGGCGUGCCUAAUACAUGCAAGUCGAGCGAACAGACGAGGAGCUUGCUCCUCUGACGUUAGCGGCGGACGGGUGAGUAACACGUGGAUAACCUACCUAUAAGACUGGGAUAACUUCGGGAAACCGGAGCUAAUACCGGAUAAUAUAUUGAACCGCAUGGUUCAAUAGUGAAAGACGGUUUUGCUGUCACUUAUAGAUGGAUCCGCGCCGCAUUAGCUAGUUGGUAAGGUAACGGCUUACCAAGGCAACGAUGCGUAGCCGACCUGAGAGGGUGAUCGGCCACACUGGAACUGAGACACGGUCCAGACUCCUACGGGAGGCAGCAGGAGGGAAUCUUCCGCAAUGGGCGAAAGCCUGACGGAGCAACGCCGCGUGAGUGAUGAAGGUCUUCGGAUCGUAAAACUCUGUUAUUAGGGAAGAACAAAUGUGUAAGUAACGAUGCACGUCUUGACGGGACCUAAUCAGAAAGCCACGGCUAACUACGU
rnacentral:rRNA from 1 species